AUUUAACGCUGGCGGCAGGCCUAACACAUGCAAGUCGCACGAGUGGCGGACGGGUGAGUAAUGUCUGGGACACUGCCUGCUGGAGGGGGAUAACUACUGGAAACGUUAGCUAAUACCGCAUACCAUCGGUUCUGCCCUGAUGGGUUUAGCUAGUAGGUGGGGUAACGGCUCACCUAGGCGACGAUCCCUAGCUGGUCUGAGAGGAGGACCAGCCACACUGGAACUGAGACACGGUCCAGACUCAUACGGGAGGCAGCAGUGGGGAAUAUUGGACAAUGGGCGAAAGCCUGAUGCAGCCAUGCCGCGUGUAUGAAGAAGGCCUUCGGGUUGUAAAGUACUUUCAGCGAGGAGGCGGUACUCGCAGAAGAAGCACCGGCUAACUCCGUGCCAGCAGCCGCGGUAAUUC
rnacentral:rRNA from 1 species